rnacentral:rRNA from 1 species
UUAAACCUACGGGGGGCAGCAGUGAGGAAUAUUGGUCAAUGGGCGAUAGCCUGAACCAGCCAAGUCGCGUGAGGGAAGACGGCCCUAUGGGUUGUAAACCCCUUUUGUCGGGGAGCAAGGUCGCUACGUGUAGCGAUUUGAGAGUACCCGAAGAAAAAGCAUCGGCUAACUCCGUGCCAGCAGCCGCGGUAAUACGGAGGAUGCGAGCGUUAUCCGGAUUUAUUGGGUUUAAAGGGUGCGUAGGCGGGCUUUUAAGUCAGCGGUAAAAAUUCGGGGCUCAACCCCGUCCGGCCGUUGAAACUGGG